AAAUGGAAAGUGAAAUAUUACAAUCAGUUUCGACCUGAAAAUUGGCAUAAUUAUGCCUCCAUUUA
rnacentral:tRNA from 1 species